UUGCUUCGGCAGCACGUAUACUAAAAUCGGAAUGAUACAGAGAAGAUUAGCAUGGCCCCUGUGCAAGGAUGACAUGUAAAUUUGUAAAGUGUUCCAUAUUUUU
ensembl:snRNA U6 U6 spliceosomal RNA